rnacentral:rRNA from 1 species
GACGAACGCUGGCGGCGUGCCUAAUACAUGCAAGUAGGACGCAGUUGCGAUGGGUUGAGUAACGCGUAGGAAACUACAUAUUAGAGGGGGAUAAGUAUUGGAAACGAUAGCUAAUACAGCAUAGUAGUAGAUGGACGUGCGUUGUAUUAGCUAGUAGGUAGGGUAAUGGACUAACUAGGCAAAGAUACAUAACCGACUUGAGAGGGUGAUCGGCCACACUGGGACUGAGACACGGCUCAGACUCCUACGGGGAGCAGCAGUAGGGAAUCUUCGGCAAUGGGGGGAACGCUGACCGAGCAACUCCGCGGGAGUGAAGAAGGUUUUCGGAUCGUAAAGCUCUGUUGUUAAGGAAGCGGUACUUAACCAGAAAGGGACGGCUAACUACGUGCCAGCAGCCGCGGUAAUAC